rnacentral:rRNA from 1 species
UACGUAGGGACCGAGCGUUGUCCGGAAUCAUUGGGCGUAAAGAGCGUGUAGGCGGCCACUUAAGUCCUGCGUGAAAUCCUGCGGCUCAACCGCAGGCGGUCGUGGGAAACUGGGUGGCUAGAGUGCGGGAGAGGAGAGUGGAAUUCCUGGUGUAGCGGUGGAAUGCGCAGAUAUCAGGAAGAACACCCGUGGCGAAGGCGGUUCUCUGGGCCUUACCUGACGCUGAGGAGCGAAAGCGUGGGGAGCGAACAGG